GUGCGAGACCGAUAGCGAACAAGUACCGUGAGGGAAAGAUGAAAAGAACUUUGAAAAGAGAGUUAAAGAGUACCUGAAACUGCUGAAAGGGAAUCGAAUCGUUUCCAGUGUCUAUAAUCCGUAGCAUAUUUCAUUGGCGCGUGAAUGCGUACAGUAUUUUGGAAGUGGUUUUCCUCUCCUGGUGCUGUUGUGCGUUUUCUUGCUGGUGCCCUGUGUUGCGGUGGGACGUCAGAGUCAGUUCGUAUGCUGCGGGAAAUGGUUGUCAGGGAGGUAGGUCGCUUCGGUGGCUGUUAUAUCCUGGCAUACUAGUCGUCGUGGUUGGGACUGAGGUGCCUAC
rnacentral:rRNA from 2 species